AGGUGUCCGCUGCGAAAUGGGAUGCCCGGUGCCUAUGCCAUGCUUCCCCCCCGCUCCGUCUAUGAUGGGGGCCAUGGCAUAGGCACCACCCGGUCGUCGGGUUUGGUUGUCGGUUUGGUGGUCUCCGACCAUCAAUCCGACCGUCAAUCCGGCGAUCACGGUCUGGUGGGCUAGUAGUGCUGUGUUGAUCUUUUUCGAGGGGAGAGGGACGGUUUAUCUCGGAUUUUGAUUUUCCAACGUAUUCAAAGGGCAAGCGUGAGCAUGGCUUCGGUUUUGGGAUCGUUGAAACGGAGAAUACAACGGUCGGGUCAAGAUCUGAGUUUUAACCUCUCGGGGGAGCACAACACAGUCUCUACUUUCUCAUUUGGCCGUCAAAGGUUUUCAAAAAUAUUUCAAAAAUCGUUGGUUUUCAAAACUUUUUGUCCCUGUCCCUGAGAUUAUUCAUUAUGCUCCAAAUCGAAACAUUCCAAAAAAAAUGCGGAAGAACUAGCAUGCUUCGGCUUGUGCUAACUUGAUGCAUCAAACGGUUUGUUACGGUGGGUUGGGUAUGGUGGAGAAUCGUUGGUUUUUAAAAAAUUAUGCCCCGUCGGAAAUUUUGUCCCUUGGUCUGGUGGGUUAGUAGUGCUGCGUUGAUCUUUCUCGAGAGGAGAGGGACGGUUCAUCUUGGAUUUUGCUUUUCCAACGUAUUCGAAGGGCAAGCGUGAGCAUGGCUUCGGCCGUGGGAUCGUUGAAACGGAGAAUACUGCGGUCGGGUCUAGAUCUGAGUUUUAACCUCUCGGGGGAGCACAACGCUGUCUUUACUUUCUCGUUUGGCCAUCAAAGGUUUUCAAAAAUAUUUCAAAAAUCGUUGGUUUUCAAAACUUUUUGUCCCUGUCCCUGAGAUUAUUCAUUAUGCUCCAUAUCGAAACAUUCCAAAAAAAAUGCGGAAGAACUAGCAUGCUUCGGCUUGUGCUAACUUGAUGCAUCAAACGGUUUGUUGCGGUGGGUUGGGUAUGGUGGAGAGUCGUUGGUUUUUGAAAAUUUUCUCCCUGUCCCUCGAAGGUUAUUGUCCCUCGGAUUGUGUGUUUCUUCAUGUGAAGCGGUGCUGGUGUGGCCCUUCUUGAUGUUUCCGCAUGCUCAGCGGUUCUAGUAAUCGUUGGGUUGUGGUUCGUUUGGUUGGGUCGUCAUCAAGUGUACGCAACUCACGUGUGAGUGGUGGUUGGAUGGCAUGGGUCUGCAAGCUCCUUGCUCAGCGCAACGAAUUGUAAACUCUCCAUCCUUUUCAUAGUCUUCCCCAAGCAUGGUCAUUUGCCUUGUGGGUAAGAUCGGUAUCCUGUGUUUUUUACCAAUUGAAUGGAAUUCGAUUGUUUUCGUUUCUCUAUUCGUCCGGUUCCUUUAGGGGUGUUGGGUGGACAAUAGGCUGACCUCGUGUUCCAGGUACAUCUCGCAUUUUUGUGUGGUUACCAUGGCCCAUGGAGUUAUGCUUGCUCUCUUGGAUGCGGAUCGUUAGUUGUGGGCGAGGGGUUACGACCUCCAUUCGUCCAAGCUAUUAUGCAUUUGUCAAUUGACACGAACGACUGCUGCACUCGUCUUGGCUUUUUACAGUUGAAUGGCUGUACAAUGUCCAUGCGAGCGUCGGUGUCGUGAAGGAAUGC
rnacentral:misc_RNA from 1 species